rnacentral:misc_RNA from 1 species
AACCUAGCACACCUGCGGUGUGUACCUGCGGAGGGAUCAUUGCAGAAACAAAUAUAUACCCAAGGGGGAAGAGUUAGCGCUCUUUUUCCUGGGCAAACAACCAACACACAUGACUAGGAAAAGCAAACAGAGAUUGUGGAGGAAUUGGCUUGGUCGGCUUGGCUUGGCUUGGCUUGGGUCCUCGCACAGCACACAAGAAGCUCUUGUCUGAUAAGUAGCUUGCUGAUUUGGAGUUACUAC